CGUUUCUCCGCUUGCUUGUAUCAUAAAUUAUUCUGACGUUUCAUUAUAGACUUAAGUUUCACUUUUAUUUAUUUCACAACGGAACGAAGUCCCGAGUUUCACGCACUUUCCGGUUUCCGUUGCGAACUACUGCAACAUGGAGUCGAACACCGGACAAAAUAAUCGCAAAGGGGGCGGAGAUUGGACAGAGAGCAAAGAAUGUGACGUCAUCUCGUGCCGACGAUAGUGACGUGUCGUCGUUGAGGCCUCAACACAAUGGACAGUCCGAGGCUGUUUGUAUUAAACGCAAGUACACAAGACGAGGUAUUUAAAUGAAUAAAUAAACGAUGUAAAAGGUAAAGUCGUUAAAAGAGGACCGUGUGAGGAACGUCGAGGGAGAACGAAGGAGAGUUCACGGUUGGGGGAACUCAGUGGAUGGGUUUGGGAGGAGUGGAUCGUGUGUUCUGUACCAACGGGGGGGGAGGGAUACAUGGCGGAGAGAGUGGACGUCAAGGUUCCUCGUCCCUUCUCUCCGGACUCUCCUCCCAAGUCUCCGUUCUCAUCACGAUCGGCUCCAGGUUCUGGAGAAUCUCCCGGCACCGACCUGGCCUUGAAGGUUCUGCGGACCUGUCCGACUCCGCGGGGGGGGGGGGGGGGGGGGGGGGGGGGGGGGGGGGGGGGGGGGGGGGGGGGGGGGGGGGGGGGGGGGGGGGGAGUCACGGUAACGGGGGGGGGGGCCCGAGGGCGGCGCGUCAAUCCGCUGUGAUCGCGGCAUAUUGUGUUUUCAUGUCUUGGACAAUGUAUAUAAUUAUAUAUUUAUUCUUUUCUCCAGUACAUGUGGUGGAGCUGCACGUACAGACACACGGGGCACGUACAGACACGGGGCACGCACGAACAGACAGGGCACGCACGUACAGACACACGGGGCACGCACGUACACACGGGACACGCACGUACACAUGGGGCACGCACGUACAGACACACGGGGCACGACCAGACAGGGCACGCACGUACAGACAAACAGGGCACGCACGUACACACAGGGGGGGGGGGGGGGGGGGGGGGGGGGGGGGGGGGGGGGGGGGGGGGGGGGCACGACCAACAGGGCACGCACGUACAGACAAACAGGGCACGCACGUACACACAGGGCACGCACGUACAGACACACGGGGCACGCACGUACACACGGGGCACGCACGUACAGACACACGGGGCACGACCAGACAGGGCACGCACGUACAGACAAACAGGGCACGCACGUACACACAGGGCACGCACGUACAGACACACGGGGCAUGCACGUACACACGGGGCACGAACAGACAGGGCACGCACGUACACACACAGGGCACGCACGUACAGACAGGGCACGCACGCACGCACGCACGUACAGACAGGGCACGCACGCACGUACAGACAGGGCACGCACGCACGCACGCACGCACGUACAGACAGGGCACGCACGUACAGACAGGGCACGCACGCACGCACGCACGUACAGACAGGGCACGCACGCACGCACGCACGUACAGACAGACAAACGGGGCACGCACGUACAGACAGACAAACGGGGCACGCACGUACAGACAGACAAACGGGGCACGCACGUACAGACAGACACGCAUGCACAGAUGUCAGAUGUUCCAUCUGCAAACUUUGUUUAACAGUGCACACAGCUCUGUGUUGUUGUCCGUAGUGCUUGAGGUGCUCCUGUACACGCAUCCAAACAGUAAUGUCGACUCUCUUUCUAUUCUCUUUCCCUUUGUCGAAACGUGCUCCGGUGCCAGAAAUACCCUUUCUCAGAUCAACGGACUCUCCUCACUCUCGAGUUUUCUCUUUCGUUGGUUAAAAACAUCUGAGAUGUUUGUGUUCGUGUAGAAAGCCUGAGCAAAUAAAGCGACUGAAUCAGCUCUUCUCCAAUGAGACCCUCUUUCUGCGGAAUCGGAUCCUUAUUCCUGCAAGCGACUCCAACAUUAGCUGCUCAAAUGGACGUCCUGACAACCGCGACGACAUCUCCAUAUCUACGCAAGACCCCGAAACACCAGGACAAGUGACGGAGAACCGCUCCGAGAUGAAGACGGAAAGCGAAACUCCGUUGUUGGAUGAUCUCUCUGGUAGAGAGUUUUUCCGUCGUAUCGAUCUUCAAGUGCAGCACACACGGGCACGUAUAGAAGAGGCCACACGGCCAGAGCGGGCAGCUGGAGUGAGGGGUGAGACUUUUCCUCGCUUCUCCAUUUUGUUCCCCCUAUUCUGAUGCAUCAUUCUCUUUGUGGCCUUUUUUUUUUAACCCCCAUCCCCAACCAGCCUCGUCUUACACUUACCAUAGCCUUCGUCAUCUUGAUUCUUGCACUACAUACUUGGGGCAAUAGUGUUCGCAGUUUCUUUGUACUGCAUUCCAUGAAGAUUGUCAACCGUUCACAUUUGGAAUUUUCGAUGGAGAUGAGGAAAUGUAAUUAAUGUUUUACUUUACAGGGAAGAUUGUUCCAGAAUACUAAUUAGUUAUCCAGUGUAGUGCGGGGCGUGAAUAACGAUGAUUAUGCUGUCGAUUACUUUUGUGCAGUCCGAAUUUUGCGAGGGACAAGAAGAAAUGAUCUUUUAUUAAAAGGCUUUGCAAUUUGUGACUGACAUGGAAAUAAAGAUUUAUGGUUUUGCUGAGGACAGAUCUCUUCUUCUAUUUACUUGUAUUCCUUUGGGUGGUUGCUGAUGACCGCUGUGCAGGGUGAGCUGCGAUUGUGUUGGAGUGAGUCGGCAUCAACACAGCAGCAGCCCUUUGUCUCUGCAGCAAGUUGACAUCUCUCCGACCUUGGACGCCGAUGAUCUCAUCUUCAGGGAGGACCAUUUUGGGAGUCUUUACUUUAAACCCUCAUGUGGAAAACCUUCUUCCUGAAAAACUAUCCUUUGUAAUCUAUGGCAUUUGUUUGGUCGAGGUAUAAUAAUUAUUAUUAUUAUUUUUUAAAUGGUCAAAGAAAACCUGUGCUUUGUGUGUGCUGUGCAGUGAGUGUGUUGGUCGUGUUGUGCAAUAUUGCCGUGCAACGGAGGAAGUGAAAUCGUCGAUUACUUCCUGUCUCGGGCUUUAUCUGUAUGCUCUGCCCUGUCUUCCACCGAGUUCAGGUUGCAUCACCUCGAUCCUCUCGAAUAGUGCAAUAACUGAUUCUGAACCAGAAAAAUCUCUCCAAAGCUGGAUCGUCCUUGUUAUGGCUUCCACAAAUGGGCAACAUGCAGUUUGGGUCUUGAUCGACGAGGACGGGCCUCGAUGCAGAAAGUUCUGGUGGAGACAUGGCACAAGUGUACAGGAAUAUCCGGUAUUACGGAACCAUUAUUCCAGGCCAUUUGGAAUUGAAAUUGAAAGCAAUCGACCUUUUCAUUGUCCCAUUCGUCCUUUUCUGGCUAUCAGAUUUCUCCGUCGUGACGUCAUCGACCGAGUUUGUUGUUAAUUAUGUUUGGGGAUAUUUCUUAAACAGUUGAAUCCUCAGUAUAAUGAUGUAUUUUUCUAAUUUGAGGAAGAAUCCUGAAGAGCCAAAAAGCUUUUGAUCUGUGCAACUUAAAUAUAUGAUGAUAACUGUCCAUGGAAGGAUUAAAUCUCAGCAUUUAGCGUGAAUUUUGACAAUUUGGAAGAUUUGUCUUUUGAUUUUAAACGAGCCUAAGGAACUGGUGAAAAAGGGGGGAAAAAUUUUACAAUCUCUUACAAUGGCAAAUGUUUCUUUAGGCGAAGGGAGACCAAGGUGAAGCACACAGUGCAAGUCCAACCGAGUAAUAAAUUAUUUGCGUGAUGAAAAAAAAUCUGUUUGAGUGUAUGUAAUUUUAUCCAUGUGUGUGUGGCAGUCAUUCCAAAGGUGUUGGGUGUGAUCUUCCCAUUCUGAACUGCCUCCAGCUUUUCAUGUGGUCAUACCAUUGUCUCGUGAGGUCUUUGUAAGUUGUUGAUGCUGUACAUUUUUCGCGUAUAGGCGUGUUUUAAUGAAACGCAAUUUUGUGUUCCGUGAGGAAAACCUCCAUGGAAGAAACCGUCCAAUGAUGGAGGCAAUGGAGGACCAAUCCACUUAAUACAUGGAAGUGGGGGGGGGGGGGGGGGGGGGGGGGGGGGGGGGGGGGGGGGGGGGGGGGGGGGGGGGGGGGGGGGGGGGGGGGGGGGGGGGGGGGACGUGUGUGAAGAGAAAAGUGGGGCUUAGCAAUGAGUUCACUUUCUGUCUGUCUGUCCACAAACGUCAGUUUUUGAUUGAGGACUAUUUCAAUUGAAUGUUUCAUUUUGAGCAUGAAUUGGAAAACGAACCUGUAAUUUAGUCUCUGAAUUUGUCCUGAUCUCACAAGGGCAGCGAGGAGUGAGAUACUUUUAUUUUUAUUUUUUUUUAAACUCUGGCUGUCUGUGAGGCCAGAGGGCAGUGGGACCGACCUUGCAGCCC
ensembl:lincRNA